rnacentral:rRNA from 1 species
AGAACGAACGCUGGCGGCAGGCUUAACACAUGCAAGUCGAGCGCUGUAGCAAUACAGAGCGGCGCACGGGUGAGUAACACGUGGGAACAUGCCUUUCGGUUCGGAAUAACUCAGGGAAACUUGUGCUAAUACCGGAUACGCCCUUACGGGGAAAGAUUUAUUGCCGAAAGAGUGGCCCGCGUUGGAUUAGCUAGUUGGCGGGGUAAAAGCCCACCAAGGCGACGAUCCAUAGCUGGUCUGAGAGGACGACCAGCCACACUGGGACUGAGACACGGCCCAGACUCCUACGGGAGGCAGCAGUGGGGAAUCUUGGACAAUGGGGGAAACCCUGAUCCAGCCAUGCCGCGUGAGUGAUGAAGGCCCUAGGGUUGUAAAACUCGUUUCGGCGGGGACGAUAAUGACGGUACCCGCAGAAGAGCUCCGGCUAACUUCGCGCCAGCAGCGC